UUUACGGAGAGUUUGAUCCUGGCUCAGGACGAACGCUGGCGGCGUGCUUAACACAUGCAAGUCGAGCGAUCGGCCUUCGGGGGGUAACCCCCGGAGGUACGGAGCGGCGAACGGGUGAGUAACACGUGGGUAACCUGCCCCAGACACCGGAAUAACCCCGGGAAACCGGGGCUAAUGCCGGAUACUCUCGCCGGGUCGCAUGGCCUGGCGAGGAAAGCUCUGGCGGUCUGGGAGGGGCCCGCGGCCUAUCAGCUAGUUGGUGGGGUAACGGCCUACCAAGGCGACGACGGGUAGCUGGCGUGAGAGCGUGGCCAGCCACACUGGGACUGAGACACGGCCCAGACUCCUACGGGAGGCAGCAGUGGGGAAUCUUGCGCAAUGGGCGAAAGCCUGACGCAGCGACGCCGCGUGAGGGAUGACGGCCUUCGGGUUGUAAACCUC
rnacentral:rRNA from 1 species